AUUGAACGCUGGCGGCAUGCCUUACACAUGCAAGUCGAACGGCAGCAUGGAAGAGCUUGCUCUUCUGAUGGCGAGUGGCGAACGGGUGAGUAAAGCAUCGGAACGUACCGUGUAGUGGGGGAUAACGUAGCGAAAGUUACGCUAAUACCGCAUACGCACUGAGGUGGAAAGCAGGGGAUCGCAAGACCUUGCGCUAUACGAGCGGCCGAUGUCAGAUUAGCUAGUUGGUAGGGUAAAGGCCUACCAAGGCGACGAUCUGUAGCGGGUCUGAGAGGAUGAUCCGCCACACUGGGACUGAGACACGGCCCAGACUCCUACGGGAGGCAGCAGUGGGGAAUUUUGGACAAUGGGCGAAAGCCUGAUCCAGCCAUGCCGCGU
rnacentral:rRNA from 1 species